rnacentral:rRNA from 1 species
CAGCCGCCGCGGUAAUCCGUAGGUGGCAAGCGUUGUCCGGAUUUAUUGGGCGUAAAGCGAGCGCAGGCGGUUCCUUAAGUCUGAUGUGAAAGCCCCCGGCUCAACCGGGGAGGGUCAUUGGAAACUGGGAAACUUGAGUGCAGAAGAGGAGAGUGGAAUUCCACGUGUAGCGGUGAAAUGCGUAGAGAUGUGGAGGAACACCAGUGGCGAAGGCGACUCUCCGGUCUGUAACUGACGCUGAGGAGCGAAAGCGUGGGGAGCGAACGGGAUUAGAUACCCCCGUAGUCCCUGUCUCUUAUAC